UACGGAGGAUCCUAGUGUUAUCCGGAUUUAUUGGGUUUAAAGGGAGCGUAGGCGGGAGGUCAAGUCAGCUGUGAAAUGUAUCUGCUUAACGGGUACACUGCAGUUGAAACUGGUUUUCUUGAGUGCGUAAGAGGCAGGCGGAAUUCGUUGUGUAGCGGUGAAAUGCUUAGAUAUGACGAGGAACUCCUAUUGCGAAGGCAGCUUGCUGGGUCGUUACUGACGCUGAUGCUCGAAGGUGCGGGGAUCAAACAGG
rnacentral:rRNA from 2 species